rnacentral:rRNA from 1 species
AUUGAACGCUGGCGGCAUGCCUUACACAUGCAAGUCGAACGGCAGCACGGGAGCAAUCCUGGUGGCGAGUGGCGAACGGGUGAGUAAUAUAUCGGAACGUGCCCAGUCGUGGGGAUAACGUAGCGAAAGCUACGCUAAUACCGCAUACGAUCUAUGGAUGAAAGCGGGGGAUCGCAAGACCUCGCGCGAUUGGAGCGGCCGAUAUCAGAUUAGGUAGUUGGUGAGGUAAAGGCUCACCAAGCCGACGAUCUGUAGCUGGUCUGAGAGGACGACCAGCCACACUGGGACUGAGACACGGCCCAGACUCCUACGGAGGCAGCAGUGGGGAAUUUUGGACAAU